rnacentral:lncRNA from 1 species
AAAAAAACAACAGCAGAAGGUCACCAACAGGUCUUCAAUGUAGCGAGAAAUUCCCGCACCCGGAGGCGUCCUUCAGCUGGCCCCUAAACAAAUAUAUACUAGUUCAGUGAUAAUGAACGCCAUACUAAUUUCCAAAUUGUACACAAGAAACUAAAAUUAAAAUAAUACAAGACUAACAAAGGCCGGAGGCUCCUGACUUGGGACAGGCGCAAAAAUGCGGCGGGGUUAAACAUGUUUGUGAGAUCUCAACCCUCCCCCUAUACCUCUAGCCAAUGUAGAAAAGUAAACGCAUAACAAUACGCACAUUAAAAUUCAGUCCAAGAGAAGUCCGAGUCUGAUGUCAGAAGAUGUAACCAAAGAAAAUAAACAAAAUGACAAUAAUACAUAAAUAACAACAGACUACUAGCAGUUAACUGACAUGCCAGCCCCAGACUUCAAUUAAACUGACUGAAAGAUUAUGAUUUCAUCAUAU